rnacentral:rRNA from 1 species
AUAGGCUAAAUCCUACGCUAUUAGGUGGAUGACUCGGCUCAAAUGCUGAUGAAGGGUGUGGCAAGCUACAGAAUGCUCUGGCGAGACGCACGCAGUCUUUGAACCAGAGGUACCUGAAUGAGACUUCUCAUUUACUCCGUAAGGAGAGGGAACGCAGGG